CCUCCCUUCAGCGGGAUGUCGCUCCGGACAUCAGGCUGGCGACAGGGGCGGACGCAGCGGGUGCCCUCCGUCCUUCUCUUACUGAUGCUCUUGACCUGAGUUCCUUGGGUGCUCCUCUGCAAUUUACCAAGGCACAAAAUUUGCAAAAUUAUCUUCUGCCUCCAAUCCCAGCCUUCUCCCAUCCAUGGGAUGCUCCCUCCAGUUCUGUCUGGGAGUCACCACAUAAAUCAAGCUGAUAUCAAGGGAUGCUGCAUGUGGAAUUCACUCAUCCGAAGCCGGGCUCUCCUUGGCCCCUCUGCCUGGGAGCUUUGCGAAGGGUGAGAUUUUGUGCGCUGUUGAACAUCACAGAUUUUCUUCUGAGGAGGAUCAAAUGCUUGUAUCGUUUUUACCAGAAAAAUGCUAUCCACGGCAGACUUCCAGUGGUGAUUGAAACUGUGAAUUCUCAUGCAAACAGAUUCCUUUGCAUACAGUCAUCUGGGAGCCGGGCCUUUGAUUUUCAUUUAUUAUUCUCCCUGGCAGCAUGUUCAGUCAGUAUGCAGAUUUCCUCCUUCAUUCAAUUUUCAGUGGGCAAGAAGACUACAAUUAGUCAUAUUAUCAUCAGCGUGAAUAAAAGGGAAACACUGAACUGGAUCCUUAUGAGCCUGCAGUUGCAGUGGGAUCGUGCAGA